ACAUGAGGGGGGAAAAGUCCCUCCUGUAAGCCGUGUAUCUUCUGAAUCACUGGUUCCUGUCACUGCCUAACAAGGAACCCCUGCUAAGCAGGAGGGGAAUUCUGUGAUAACCGAUUAAUCUUGAUAAUUGCCUGGGGGAUUUUACUGUGCUCUAAUUUCAACUUCCAUGCAAAUUACUUUCCUGAUCUAUUACGAGGUGGCACCACGUUGAAACUGUGACUUGCUGUGUAAAGGCAGAGAACAGGACACGGAAAGUCCCUCCGAAUUUGAACUUUCCAGAAUGAAUCAGCUGUGACGUUCCUUUUGCUUUCGUGCACCUUCAAUUGUGUUCGUGGAAGAGGACUUCUGGAUUUCAGCACUUUAAAUCUGCGAUUUGAUCCCACUGUCAGGCAAAGCCUGAAAUACAGCUCCCAGGAUUCGCUGAAGGCGCAUUAUUUAUCCUCAUAAAAGGCCUUCGCCCCAUGGCGCAACUAGAAGAACUGACAUGUUUUGUUGUCCCUUGGAGUGACACUUAAAUAGCCCUCUUAAUGAGAAGGUUACAGGUGAAGGAAUUGAUUUCACACUAUCUCAUAUGAUGACAGUCAACAUUGUUUUCAGAUUCCACGUCUUCAAUGAUUCUUGAGUUCAGACGGCCUUCUCUCACACAUUUCUGAUCCUCCUCUGCAAUUCACCCAAUAAGACGGGGGGGACAGAUACGUCUUUUGAAGUUGUUCAUUAAGUAUUCUCUGCAGAUUACUGCACACUUCGCCUGAUUAGGGGUGGUAAAUAAGCCCCCUGACAUUUGGAAGUUACAAAAUGAAGGUGGCAUGCAAAGCUAGAACCAGUGAACUUUUGAACUUCCUACCUCUCCAUUCACCUCCUCCCUGGAUGUGAAUUCUCUUUGCCUUUGUGUGCUUACUGAAGAUUGAAUCUGUAAAGGUUGGACUUUGGUUGAACUUUUCUCAUUACCCCCAUUCACCACCCCCCCAACACACAUACACAUACACACUCACCAUCCACUCAACCAUCUAAACCACCCCAACCAUUCUCAACACUCGACUAGUUUCAACAAUGCCUUGACUAGGACACUACAAAUCUCACUCAGAAUACAUUCAUACAUGAAUUCACAUAUGCAUUCACAUGCAGAUGCACACUCUCACAUACUCACUCAAACACACACACACACACACACACACACGCACGCACGCACGCACGCACGCACGCACGCACGCACGCACACACACACAUACACACACACACACACACACACACACACACACACAAACAAACAUGUACCAAUCCCCCACCAGCACAGUGCAUACCACAAACAAAUAAUCACAUGUAGCCAUAACAUUAGGUUUCAAUUACUGCUUAGAGCCCGUCUUCAAGAGAAGAUAUGAGUGC
ensembl:lncRNA